rnacentral:rRNA from 1 species
GAUGAACGCUGGCGGCGUGCCUAAUACAUGCAAGUCGAGCGAACGGACGAGAAGCUUGCUUCUCUGAUGUUAGCGGCGGACGGGUGAGUAACACGUGGAUAACCUACCUAUAAGACUGGGAUAACUUCGGGAAACCGGAGCUAAUGCCGGAUAAUAUUUUGAACCGCAUGGUUCAAAAGUGAAAGACGGUCUUGCUGUCACUUAUAGAUGGAUCCGCGCUGCAUUAGCUAGUUGGUAAGGUAACGGCUUACCAAGGCAACGAUGCAUAGCCGACCUGAGAGGGUGAUCGGCCACACUGGAACUGAGACACGGUCCAGACUCCUACGAGAGGCAGCAGUAGGGAAUCUUCCGCAAUGGGCGAAAGCCUGACGGAGCAACGCCGCGUGAGUGAUGAAGGUCUUCGGAUCGUAAAACUCUGUUAUUAGGGAAGAACAUAUGUGUAAGUAACUGUGCACAUCUUGACGGUACCUAAUCAGAAAGCCACGGCUAACUACGUG